UUGUAUAUGUCCUUCAGGUUCUGUAGUGUAAUGGAAAAAUAGUAUUAGUGUAAAUGAUAUCUUGUCCCUUGUUCAAUCCAUAUGGAUAAAUUUCAGUCAAUGUGCAAUAAAAUUUCAAUUUGGGAGAAUUUGCUUGUUGAAUUUGAACCUUGUUCUCUACUGUCUGAUGUCUAUAUCGCUCCAUUAUGUUCUUGCAUAGACCAUUAUUUGUGGUCAUGUACCAUUGGUUUUGAUCAUAUAUAGGAAUUUGUAUAAAAAAUUAGAAAAUUGUAGACUGCAAAGCAAAAGUGAGAUAUCCUUUUGGUAGAAGCCUGGUAUGAAUACUCAUAAUCUUAGUUUAAAUAGGCUGGAAUUUUUGUCAGAAUUGGCAUUGUGGGAUUGAUAACUGGGGUUUUUGCUCAUUUUCAAAUGAAUUACAGUUUUUUGAGGCGGAGCUGUAGAUAUCUAUUGAAAAUCCAAUCUCCAAAACUUAAAGAAGAUCUUGUUCAACCACAGAAUUCAGAGAGCUGAAGAUGAGGAAGGAGAAGAAAGGUACAAAUUGGUUGGGAGCAAUUGAGAGUAGAGAAGAAGUCAAGAAGCUAGAUUGGAUGCCUUCGAAGGUUGAAAUUUUAUACAUUUUAUCUGUGAAGAAAUACUCUUUUAUUUUAGGGUGAUUUGGGAUAAUCUAAAUAAGUGUAUUUUUUUACUUUUUAUGAAAUAUGGGUUAGAUA